GACGAACGCUGGCGGCGUGCUUAAUACAUGCAAGUCGAACGAGAGCGACCGGUUCUUGCGCUGUUCAAUCUAGUGGCGCACGGGUGAGUCACACGUGUGUAACCUGCUCAUCAGAGGGGGAUAUCAUCGGAAAAGGGGUGCUUAAACGGCAGAAGUCUUCGAGCCGCAGGGGUUGUAGGGGAAAAGCGGCGGAUGGGGCUGGUGAUGGAUGGACCCGUGGUGCAGUAGCUGGUGGGGGAGCUAACGGCUUACACAGGCCGUGAUGCAUAGCCGACGUCCGGGGCGGAUCGCCGGCAUGGGGACUGAGCCACGGCCCAAACUCCUGCGGGACGCAGCAGUAGGCAAUCUUCCGCAAUGGACGCAAGUCUGACGGAGCAACCCCGAGUGAGUGAAGAAGGUGUUCGGAUCGUAAAACUCUGUUGUUAGAUAAGAACAAGUGCUAGAGUAACUGUUGGCGCCUUGACGGUAUCUAACCAGAAAGCCACGGCUAACUACGUG
rnacentral:rRNA from 1 species